GCCCGGCUAGCUCAGUUGGUAGAGCAUGAGGCUUAAUCUCAGUGUCGUGGGUUCGGACCCCACGUUGGGCG
rnacentral:tRNA from 2 species